GGCACUUUUCAUCCUCCUCAUCCUCUUCCCCAUCAGAAAGCUCAUACGACUCCUCAUCAUUCACUUCAACUGUGUCAGCAAUCACAGUCUCGUUAUUAGGACUCCCAUUGACUAGCAUAUCCCUAAACGAAGGACCCAUUGGAGACGGUUGUCCAACAGACUCAAACUUUUUACCGUCUUGUUCUUCUAAAGAGAAACCUCCUUCACCAUCUUUACGCUUCCUACGGCCAUUAUGUUGCAAAAGAUCAUCCUCUUCCAUACCCUCAUUGCCGGAAUCUGACAUUCCGGUGGAAUCACAAUCGGCAAAAGUUCUAGAGCUA
rnacentral:lncRNA from 1 species